rnacentral:rRNA from 1 species
UACGGGGGGGGCAAGCGUUGUUCGGAAUUAUUGGGCGUAAAGAGCUCGUAGGCGGCUUGUCACGUCGGUUGUGAAAGCCCGGGGCUUAACCCCGGGUCUGCAGUCGAUACGGGCAGGCUAGAGUGUGGUAGGGGAGAUCGGAAUUCCUGGUGUAGCGGUGAAAUGCGCAGAUAUCAGGAGGAACACCGGUGGCGAAGGCGGAUCUCUGGGCCAUUACUGACGCUGAGGAGCGAAAGCGUGGGGAGCGAACAGG